rnacentral:rRNA from 1 species
GGAAGGUCCGGGCGUUAUCCGGAUUUAUUGGGUUUAAAGGGAGCGUAGGCCGUCUUAUAAGCGUGUUGUGAAAUGUCGGGGCUCAACCUGGGCAUUGCAGCGCGAACUGUGAGACUUGAGUGCGCAGGAAGUAGGCGGAAUUCGUCGUGUAGCGGUGAAAUGCUUAGAUAUGACGAAGAACUCCGAUUGCGAAGGCAGCCUGCUGUAGCGCAACUGACGCUGAAGCUCGAAAGCGUGGGUAUCGAACAGGAUUAGAUACCCUGGUAGUCCACGCGGUAAACGAUGGAUGCUCGCUGUUUGCGUCUGACGUAAGCGGCCAAGCGAAAGCGUUAAGCAUCCCACCUGGGGAGU